rnacentral:rRNA from 1 species
GAUGAACGCUGGCGGCGUGCCUAAUACAUGCAAGUCGAGCGAACGGACGAGAAGCUUGCUUCUCUGAUGUUAGCGGCGGACGGGUGAGUAACACGUGGAUAACCUACCUAUAAGACUGGGAUAACUUCGGGAAACCGUAGCUAAUACCGGAUAAUAUUUUGAACCGCAUGGUUCAAAAGUGAAAGACGGUCUUGCUGUCACUUAUAGAUGGAUCCGCGCUGCAUUAGCUAGUUGGUAAGGUAACGGCUUACCAAGGCAACGAUGCAUAGCCGACCUGAGAGGGUGAUCGGCCACACUGGAACUGAGACACGGUCCAGACUCCUACGGGAGGCAGCAGUAGGGAAUCUUCCGCAAUGGGCGAAAGCCUGACGGAGCAACGCCGCGUGAGUGAUGAAGGUCUUCGGAUCGUAAAACUCUGUUAUUAGGGAAGAACAUAUGUGUAAGUAACUGUGCACAUCUUGACGGUACCUAAUCAGAAAGCCACGGCUAACUACGUGCCAGCAGCCGCGGUAAUACGUAGGUGGCAAGCGUUAUCCGGAAUUAUUGGGCGUAAAGCGCGCGUAGCGGUUUUUUAAGUCUGAUGUGAAAGCCCACGGCUCAACCGUGGAGGGUCAUUGGAAACUGGGAAACUUGAGUGCAGAAGAGGAAAGUGGAAUUCCAUGUGUAGCGGUGAAAUGCGCAGAGAUAUGGAGGAACACCAGUGGCGAAGGCGACUUUCUGGUCUGUAACUGACGCUGAUGUGCGAAAGCGUGGGGAUCAAACAGGAUUAGAUACCCUGGUAGUCCACGCCGUAAACGAUGAGUGCUAAGUGUUAGGGGGUUUCCGCCCCUUAGUGCUGCAGCUAACGCAUUAAGCACUCCGCCUGGGGAGUACGACCGCAAGGUUGAAACUCAAAGGAAUUGACGGGGACCCGCACAAGCGGUGGAGCAUGUGGUUUAAUUCGAAGCAACGCGAAGAACCUUACCAAAUCUUGACAUCCUUUGACAACUCUAGAGAUAGAGCCUUCCCCUUCGGGGGACAAAGUGACAGGUGGUGCAUGGUUGUCGUCAGCUCGUGUCGUGAGAUGUUGGGUUAAGUCCCGCAACGAGCGCAACCCUUAAGCUUAGUUGCCAUCAUUAAGUUGGGCACUCUAAGUUGACUGCCGGUGACAAACCGGAGGAAGGUGGGGAUGACGUCAAAUCAUCAUGCCCCUUAUGAUUUGGGCUACACACGUGCUACAAUGGACAAUACAAAGGGCAGCGAAACCGCGAGGUCAAGCAAAUCCCAUAAAGUUGUUCUCAGUUCGGAAUGUAGUCUGCAACUCGACUACAUGAAGCUGGAAUCGCUAGNUAUCGUAGAUCAGCAUGCUACGGUGAAUACGUUCCCGGGUCU